rnacentral:rRNA from 1 species
AUUGAACGCUGGCGGCAUGCCUUACACAUGCAAGUCGAACGGCAGCACGGGUGCUUGCACCUGGUGGCGAGUGGCGAACGGGUGAGUACUACAUCGGAACGUACCUUAUCGUGGGGGAUAACGCAGCGAAAGCUGUGCUAAUACCGCAUACGCCCGGAUGGGGAAAGCGGGGGAUCGAAAGCCCUCGCGCAAUUAGAGCGGCCGAUGCCUGAUUAGCUUGUUGGUGGGGUAAAAGCCCACCAAGGCGACGAUCAGUAGCUGGUCUGAGAGGACGAUCAGCCACACUGGGACUGAGACACGGCCCAGACUCCUACGGGAGGCAGCAGUGGGGAAUUUUGGACAAUGGGGGCAACCCUGAUCCAGCAAUGCCGCGUGAGUGAAGAAGGCCUUCGGGUUGUAAAGCUCUUUUGUCAGGGAAGAAACACCGGCUCUAACACAGUCCGGGAAUGACGGUACCUGAAGAAUAAGCACCGGCUAACUACGUGCCAGCAGCCGCAGUAA